AAGAUCGCACCAUUGCACUCCAGCCUGGUUAACAAAAGCAAAACUCUGUCUCAAAAAAAGAAAAAAAGAGAAAGGGUGGAAAAGAGGGAUUCCAGAGUGCCAGGCACACAGAUUUUCUGGAAGGUUUACAUGAGGACUGCUGUGGUUUGAAUGUGUUCCCCAAAGUUCAUGUGUUGGAAACUCAACCCCUAAUGCAACAGUGUUGAUCAGUGGAACCUUUAAGAGGUGAUUAGGUCAUGAAGGCUCUGCCCUCAUGAAUGGAUGAAGGUAGGGUGGGUUAGUUAUCUUGGGAGGGGGUUCCUGAUAAAAGGAUGAGGUUGGCUUCCUCCCUUUCUGUCUUUCCCCUUCUCCCUCUCACAUGUGGUCACUCUCUUGCCCUUUUACCUUCCAGCAUAGGACAACACAGCGAGACCUUCACCAGAUGCAGGCCCCUCACUUUCCCAGUGUUCAGAACCAUAAACCAAGUGAACCCUUAUAAAUCACCCAGUCUGUGGUAUUCUGUUAUAGCAACACAAACAGACUAAGACAGGGACACUCAGUGAGCUCUUCUCUCUACUUGAUGGAGCACUCCCUGCGUGGUGCCUUGUAUUUGUAGACAUGAUGCUGUAAAUGCUCUUUGAGUGUCUCGAAGGCUUUUAUGUUUGAGGAGUUUACAGAGAAGCCCGUACAGGGUUCAGGUCCAUUCUGUUGCUUCUUUGCUCCUUAGUUCCUCCCCUAAUCUGAUGUUAAAUUAGAUCAUAGUGUGGUCCUUGGACCAAUAGUAUCAGUAGCACCUGAAAAUCAUGCUGGAAAUACAGAUUCACAGGCUGCUCCCCAGAAUACUGAAGAAGAAACUCUAGGAGUGAGACCCAACAAUCUGUGUUUAACAAGUCCCCAGGCCCCUGGAUCCUCCUGGAAUCCCUGAUCCCUGUUGCUCCCUUGCGGAGUUUUCUAGUCCCUCUUAUUUGAAGCAUGUCUUUCAGAGCCUCGCACCACCCAGCUUGGGUAUCUGGUGAAUUCUGUGGUCUGCAUGUCCAUGUUUUUGACAUUCUGGGAAGGGUGGCCCAGGCUGUGAUUUGCCAUCUACUGCUGCAGGCUAUGGAUGGUAUUCAGAAGGGAGGGGAGAUGCUGUGUGCGUGUUCUGAAGGGUUUCCCACUAAAUGGAGAGACUGACUCUCUCCAUAAGUAUUUGAUUUUUACUUUAUCUCCUCGUUGACUUCACAGUGUAAGUGCAGUUUGUCUCUACUGGGUGAUGCAUGCAGAUAAAUGUUUAUGUGAACAUAAGAAGUCUGCAUGUGUGGGUGAACUCUCCACAUCAUGUCAUUUAUUGUCCAUCAUUACGUAUCUGUGGUGUCUAGCACAUUCCUCUACCUUAUUUUCUGUCAUUGUACCUACUUCUACCUGAACACGUAUUAAAUAUCUUAUUAAAAAUACACAAAUAUUAUGUUUCCUCAGUGGUUUUUUCCCCCUCACAUUGGGCCCUCCUCUUCAGUGGACUACAGUGUGGUACCUGCAGGUCUCAGGCCUUCUGGGAGGUUCCAGCUUUUCCUGGAUGCUCUCUCUCUCUGGCCAGCUCAGGCUGGAGCAGUGGGUGUUGGUGCCAUCCUGUGGCUAUAGGUGAUAAACCAGGUUGUGUUUUGACCCCUAGUCUUGAAUCCUGGAGUUCUCACAUGCGUGGAUUUAAAUGCUGUGUCUUUCUAAGGGCAGAUUGUGCCCAUUUUCCUUCUCUGCCUCUCAAGGGACUGUUUGCUGUGUUUAUUGACUUACCAUUAAAAAAAAUCAUAUACAUUGAUGAAUUAGAUUGUACUCCAUAAAUUAUAUAUGUUUGAAAAAUAAAGAAUAUUUUUUCAA
rnacentral:lncRNA from 1 species